rnacentral:misc_RNA from 1 species
UCCUCGACCGCUUUUCUCUGAACAGUUUGGGUACGUGUGCCCCCGCAUUCUCUUCGGCCGGCUAUGUAUAGAUGAGCGACCCCCUGCUACCCAAUUCCAACACUCAGGCAACCCAGCUUUGGCUGCCCUUGCUUGCUGCUCAGUUCUUUGCCCCCUGUUCCUCCUCCUCCUCUUUUCGCACCUCGGCGCCUGCUUCGGCAUCAACUGCGACCGAGAUGGAGGCGCAAGACGACUGCAAGUGGCGCCAAGUCCCGGCGUUCGGCGACUGGAACCUGUGGGACGACAUGCCCGUCACCCAGUACUUUCAGGCAGGGACCUUCUUCUUCGCCGCGCCGACGACAGAGAAGGACGACGACGAGGAUCUCUUCAAGGUGCCCCAGUUCCCUGCCACGCCCUACAGCUACAAGAAGUGCGUUGUUCGAGUGAAGGGGGAGAAAGGAACUGCUGUGCCUCCGGCGGCGAGGAAGGGAGGAAGGAGGCGCCGCGUGAACGAGCAACAGAAGUGGAAGCCCAAGGGAGCUGUGGACGAGGACCUCUACAAGAUAUCCCCGCAGCUUCUCUGCAAGGUGAAGAAGAAGAAGCUCCUGAGGAAUCUGCUGGGAGGGUGCCUGGGCCUGAGCUGCAUCGCAUGACCGAGAGACGCAUCGCUUAAUAAGUUUCUGGGGAGUUUGUUGUUCGGUGGGUGCUCUGGAGAGUUGUAUAGUGUCUACGCUAAUAUGGAAUCAAUGGAAACUUACUGCUGCUUUUGCACUCUUUUGAAUGUAAACACUAGCUCGCAUUCCAUCUCUCUUGGUGUUGUUUUGGUGACUCACUUU